rnacentral:rRNA from 1 species
AGAGCGAACGCUGGCGGCAGGCCUAACACAUGCAAGUCGAGCGCCCCGCAAGGGGAGCGGCAGACGGGAGAGUAACACGUGGGAACGUACCCUUCAGUUCGGAACAACCCAGGGAAACUUGGGCUAAUACCGAAUACGUCCGUAAGGAGAAAGAUUUAUCGCUGAAGGAUCGGCCCGCGUCUGAUUAGCUAGUUGGUGAGGUAACGGCUCACCAAGGCUACGAUCAGUAGCUGGUCUGAGAGGAUGAUCAGCCUCACUGGGACUGAGACACGGCCCAGACUCCUACGGGAGGCAGCAGUGGGGAAUAUUGCGCAAUGGGCGGAAGCCUGACGCAGCGACGCCGCGUGCGGGAUGAAGGCCUUCGGGUUGUAAACCGCUUUCACCAGGGACGAAGCGAGAGUGACGGUACCUGGGGAAGAAGCGCCGGCUAACUACGUGCCAGCAGCCGC